UUUCCGUAGGUGAACCUGCGGAAGGAUCAUUAAUGAAUUCUGAGUAGGCUCUGCCUCUCACCCUUCAUAUCCAUAAACACCUGUGCACAGUCGGACCCUUGAGUCUUUCGGGACUCCUGGUGUCUUGACAAUCUUAUCAAACAUCAAUGUAACCAAUGUAAUCAUUAUUAUAACAUAAUAGAACUUUUAACAACGGAUCUCUUGGCUCUC
rnacentral:misc_RNA from 1 species